CUUCCAGUGAUGAUAACAUUGUCCAGUUCUGCUACUGAAUGGAAAGUGAUGAUCACUGACAUCUGAGGAAG